ACAGACUGAAAAUGGCCCCGGGUGUGUCAGUGAUCUGGGGUCAGAUAACUGUGCCGACACUACCGUGGUGCAUAAAGCUUAUCGCGUGCGUCUUUCGGUGGCCGCGUGAUAAAACCCAUGCACCGACAUGC